rnacentral:rRNA from 1 species
AGCUUCUAGUGAGAAAGUAACUGCCCGUACCGCAAACCGACACAGGUAGUUGAGGAGAGAAUCCUAAGGUGUGCGAGAGAACUCUCGUUAAGGAACUCGGCAAAAUGACCCCGUAACUUCGGGAGAAGGGGUGCUGACCGCAAGGUCAGCCGCAGUGAAUAGGCCCAAGCGACUGUUUAUCAAAAACACAGGUCUCUGCAAAAUCGAAAGAUGACGUAUAGGGGCUGACGCCUGCCCGGUGCUGGAAGGUUAAGAGGAGAGGUUAGCGCAAGCGAAGCUUUGAAUUGAAGCCCCAGUAAACGGCGGCCGUAACAAUAACGGUCCUAAGGUAGCGAAAUUCCUUGUCGGGUAAGUUCCGACCCGCACGAAAGGCGUAACGAUUUGGGCACUGUCUCAACGAGAGACUCGGUGAAAUUAUAGUACCAGUGAAGAUGCUGGUUACCCGCGACAGGACGGAAAGACCCCAUGGAGCUUUACUGCAGUUUGAUAUUGCGUGUUUGUAUCACAUGUACAGGAUAGGUAGGAGCCGAAGAUACCGGGACGCCAGUCUCGGAGGAGGCAACGGUGGGAUACUACCCUUGUGAUAUGACCACUCUAACCCGCUGCUCUUAGCGAGCAGGGAGACAGUGUCAGACGGGCAGUUUGACUGGGGCGGUCGCCUCCAAAAAUGUAACGGAGGCGCCCAAAGGUUCCCUCAGAAUGGUUGGAAAUCAUUCGUAGAGUGUAAAGGCAGAAGGGAGCUUGACUGCGAGACCUACAAGUCGAGCAGGGACGAAAGUCGGGCUUAGUGAUCCGGUGGUUCCGCAUGGAAGGGCCAUCGCUCAACGGAUAAAAGCUACCCUGGGGAUAACAGGCUUAUCUCCCCCAAGAGUUCACAUCGACGGGGAGGUUUGGCACCUCGAUGUCGGCUCAUCGCAUCCUGGGGCUGUAGUCGGUCCCAAGGGUUGGGCUGUUCGCCCAUUAAAGCGGUACGCGAGCUGGGUUCAGAACGUCGUGAGACAGUUCGGUCCCUAUCCGUCGCGGGCGUUGGAAAUUUGAGAGGAGCUGUCCUUAGUACGAGAGGACCGGGAUGGACACACCGCUGGUGUACCAGUUGUUCUGCCAAGAGCAUCGCUGGGUAGCUAUGUGUGGACGGGAUAAACGCUGAAAGCAUCUAAGCGUGAAGCCCCCCUCAAGAUGAGAUUUCCCAUCACUUUAAGUGAGUAAGACCCCUGAGAGAUGAUCAGGUAGAUAGGUUGGGAGUGGAAGUACAGCGAUGUAUGGAGCGGACCAAUACUAAUCGGUCGAGGACUUAACCU